UGGGGAAUAUUGCACAAUGGAGGGAACUCUGAUGCAGCGACGCCGCGUGAACGAAGAAGGCUUUCGAGUCGUAACGUUCUUUUAUAUGGGAAGAUAAUGACGGUACCAUAAGAAGAAGCCCCGGCUAACUACGUGCCAGCAGCCGCGGUAAUACGUUGGGGGCUAGCGUUGUCCGGAAUCACUGGGCGUAAAGGGUUCGCAGGCGGAAAUGCAAGUCAGGUGUAAAAGGCAGUAGCUUAACUACUGUAAGCAUUUGAAACUGCAUAUCUUGAGAAGAGUAGAGGUAAGUGGAAUUUUUAGUGUAGCGGUGAAAUGCGUAGAUAUUAAAAAGAAUACCGGUGGCGAAGGCGACUUACUGGGCUCAUUCUGACGCUGAGGAACGAAAGCGUGGGUAGCAAACAGG
rnacentral:rRNA from 1 species